rnacentral:rRNA from 1 species
UACGAAGGGGGCGAGCGUUGUUCGGAAUUACUGGGCGUAAAGGGCGCGCAGGCGGCCUUAGAAGUCAGAUGUGAAAGCCCCGGGCUCAACCUGGGAAUGGCAUUUGAUACUCUGAGGCUGGAGUACGGGAGAGGAGAGCGGAAUUCCCAGUGUAGAGGUGAAAUUCGUAGAUAUUGGGAAGAACACCGGUGGCGAAGGCGGCUCUCUGGACCGUAACUGACGCUGAGGCGCGAAAGCGUGGGGAGCAAACAGG